GGAGGGGUACCCGAGUGGCCAAAGGGAUCAGACUGUAAAUCUGACGCGCAAGCUUCGGUGGUUCGAAUCCACCCCCCUCCACCA
rnacentral:tRNA from 2 species